UCUUAUUUCAAGGCUCUGUGAUGUGUAGGAGAAAAUGUAGAACCAUAGAAUUUCAUUAUUAUUACUAUUUUUUGUCUCAUUUAGUCCUCUCAUUUUUCUGGUAUAGAGGGACUGAGAGCCUGAAGAGGUU